rnacentral:lncRNA from 1 species
GUAUUGCCAAAAACUCAUUGAGAAAAAGAGCAAGACACAGACCAAAAAAUUCUUGCAUCUGUUGGCCAUUUAAUCAUUUGUUCUGUAAAAAAUAUCAUGUAGCACUGUACAUUACAAAAGAAAAAAGAAAUAAAUUUCUAUCAUGCAGCUGUAUGAGAACUCACUGUACUUUUCUUCCCUAUUAGCCAGCAGUGCAGAUUAGUCUAUCCUGAGUCCUGAGGAUUUAGAUAACUUCCACUCUUUGGUUUUUCUUUUCCUUUUUUUUUUUUUUUCCUUCAUCUUUUUCAGUUUCCGUCUCUAAUGUAGUAAUUCGCUAGUGUAUUCAUUUCAAUCCUGUGGAACUAUUUACAUACUGUUCUUCUGUUGUAUUUCUUUGUAGAGAAGAAAACUCAAAAGGCCACCAGGCAGAAAGUCAAGUCAUCAGUCCGUGGUCCCACUGGGCUUGUGGAAUUAAGGGAUGAAAUCUCUGCAGUUGUACAGUGGUCCAUGAGGAGGCUGAUGACAGCAGGGAAGGAUAAAACAAAAGGGAAAUAAGUAUUUAUUUUAUCAGUUUAUGACUUCUGAGGAACUGCUCCACUGUUUGAAACCAGUAAAUUUUUCCUCUGCCUUCACACCUUCAUAUCAAGAGUCUGAUGUACACUGGAAACAGAUGGAAGACAGAAUUUGAGAGACAAAUGCAGUUUCCAGUACCAACAAAUGCAUCAGAUCAUUAGCAAACCAUGAUUUGUCAAAGCACCUCAAAAGUCAGCAUCAAGAUAUGUUUUGUCAAGUAGCUGCUUGGGCAUCAUUGGUCCUGAUACUACCACUCAGGGUAAAGGUAUAUGCAGGAACAUGGGGCAGGCAGUGUGUCCUCAUCAUGCUCUUAGCUUCUCAACAAAUCUAUGGAGCAGAUCCCCAGGUGAACUCAAGUUUGGAACCCUAUAGUUGAUCAUGAUCCUUGAAGGAGGAAAAGUUGAAGCCAAGCAAAGAGAAGAAUCCUUUAUCCUUAUCCUUAUUCCUGCUGAGCCGUGAGCUGAAUCUCCCAGGCAACUAGAAGAGCAAAGGUAGGAUAAAACACAUCUCUUGUUGAUGGCAGGAGGCCUUAUCUUCCACAGCUGGGAAACCAGGACUGUUUGAUUGGUGCUUAGAAUUACAAAAUCAGGUUGAUACAUUUUCAGCCCGAUACUUUAAACCUGUUGUCUGUGUUCUGUAUUAUUAUUCACCUCAACAUCUGGAUCAAAAGAUUGCAUUUCACUUUCAUUUUUUAACCACUUUGAGGGUAAAACAGAAAUUUCAAAUCAGACAAUAUUU